rnacentral:lncRNA from 13 species
UGUUGAGGACCUAGAAUGUCAUUAUUCUUCAUAGAAGAGCCAUAAGGAAUGUGACUGGAGGGCAGCGUGGGGGAAGGGUGGGUGUAGGCGCAGCGAGAGGCAGGCGCAGAAGAUGGGAGGUGGUCAUUUUCUGCAGAUGAUUUGGGAGACAGCCAGCCCAGGGAUUGGCCAUCCAGUUUGGGGGCCAGUUCAAAUGGCUUGGAGCUAACCAAUCAGAAACUCAGGAAAGGGGCGGAAUCUGAAGAAUCAGGCCACUGCGCACUCACCUGCGGUAAAGAAUUGAGCUGGCGACCAUUUGACAGUGUAGCUGAGAUAGAGAAAUACUGAUCUAGAAGGUAUGGGAAGAUCCCAGCCCUGCUGUCCUGCAGCCGUCCCAGGACCAGCCUUUUGGUCUGCAUAGCCAACAGGGUUUCCACAGCUUCCAAGAGGACAUCUGACACAGGUGUUAAGCUUUCUGAAAUAAAAAAAAAAGAUGUACACGCA